UAAAUCUUAUCAAGGAUUAAUUUAUAAGAAUCCUAUAAUAAUAAUGUAAUCUAAUAUUUUAUCACAUUUACAACUACUCUCUGAUGGUUAAAAACUUAAAAAAUAAGUUAGUAUAACAAAUUAGAUCAGAGCUUGUAUGUGCUGGACGAAAUUUUAAUUAUGUUAGAUUUUUUGUAGACUUGAUAUUUGUAUAAGUUUGAUAUAGGUUUGAAUAUUGUUGAAUUAUUCUAUGGUGCCAUUCAAAAGUAUGCUAAAAAUUCUUUUUCUUUGGAAACGUCGUUCUCUUUAAUCUCUAUCUUUUUUCCUUUGAGCUUUGAAAGUUUUUCAGGUUUGAGAACCCCUGCUAUAGAAUAAAACAUGUGCCACGGCCUUGCACUACCAUCAACGUACAAAAGCGAAAGAAACGUUAUUUUUAUUUACGAGAUGUAAUUUUUUACGGAGAGAGGCGAUACGACGUGUCUCACCGACGAAGGAACAGAAUAAAAUAGAUUGACGGUCUUCUAUUUUGCUAGACACGAAAUGCGAAAUGAGGAAAUUCCUCCGCUAAGCUCAGUGAUACCAGUUUCGGAACCGUUACAUAGUCACGACCCUGUUCUUUGAGAUUAGCUUUAUAAGAUAAGUAAAACCUACUAUUGUCUACACACUUAUUAUUACUUAUCGCAAAUGUUAAGCUCAAUAUUUAUAUCAGACAAGAAAGAAAGUCUUACAUUUCUGGAUUCCUGGAUACAAAUAUAAAAUAAAAGUGUUUUAAUCAUUUUUAGAUUUAAAGAGAAAAAUAGAUAUUCAUAUGAAUCUCUUCUAAAGUUUAAUAAUUGUAUAAUUUGAGAGGAGAAUAUCUUGAUUUUGAGUUUUAAUGAAAUUUAAUUCUGAAUCUGAGAAUCCCGAUGUAGAAGUUCAAGGAUCUAGGAAUCCAGAAAUCUUGGACUUGAGGGAUCUCAAACUCCAGGAAUCUUGAAGUCGGAAGAUCUAGAGAUCUAAAGAUAGCGACUAAACGCGUGGAUUCAAGAACCUAAACUACCGCUGAUUUAAGAAUCUAGAUUCAACUACAAUAUAAUAUUUCGAGGUACUCAUAGGUCUAAGAAGCCAAAAAGUUCAGACUUCGACGAUUGUAAGGAUAUAAAAAUCCAAGAACAAGACACUGAGGCUCUACGAUAUAUAUUUCUGUGAGAAAAGAGAGAAAAUCUAGGAGUCUAAGAUUGCGAAGAUUCUGCGAACUUAUAAAUUCCAUGAACAUUCUAAAUCGUAAUUCACAACUUCUAACGAUAAUCCUAUCACCUAUAGCGCUUAGAUACGACCUGGUAGUAUAUAAAAAAACGGGAGAGACAAGCAUUUUUAAAACAAGCCACAUUUUUUUAUACAUGCAUUAAAUCAUAUGAACUAUAUGAUGCGAUAGGAAUCUCCUAAACUAAUAAUUGAAGGGCUCAUCGACAUGCUAAGUGCUAGCUUAAUAAUUAAUUUAUCAUUUAGUAAUCGCAAAUAUUCACAUCGAUAAGGAGAUUAAAUAUAUUUAAAUGUAAGUAGUUUAUACAGUAUAGAUCCAUAUAUAGUAAUAUUUUUCCAUAAUAGAUGCAUAUAAAUCUUCAAUAGCCGCCCUUUUUAUAUAAAAGACUGCCAGUUUAUAAUGCACAUUUUGUGAAUUUUGCUAUUGGAUAAACGUAGUCUCUUUUUAAAUUUUGCAUCAUAAAUGAGAUGUUAAAGUAUCAUAAAUAGAGAUCAUCUUUGAUCUUUAUGCUAAAUAUAAUUUUUCCAUACAUUUUUUUUAUCAACAAAGUUUAGCAUGAUACUGCCUAGAGCCCUUCAAUAUUAAAAAGUUUAUAGAGGCGAAAAUUAUAUAAAAUGUUUAUUAAUCAGUGAUAUCUUCAUUGAACAUUUUAUUAUCAAAUAGAUUUUUCUCCUUACUUAUGUUUCUCCAAGAGACAAACAGCACAAACUGUCUGUGUAAGCCAAAGAUAUCCCGACGAUAUAAUGUUAUAGUGUUAAAAAUAUAUAUAACACAUGAGUAUAAUGAGAUUUCAAUGUGAGUGUUUCGACAAAAAUACAGAGAAUGUGAUGUACCAAUAAAAAUUAAUGACAUGAUUAAAAUGUUGAAAUGUUGAGAAGUGUUUUUGGCCAACUAAUACUCUGUUAAAUUUUUCGAAACACUCGGAUACGAGAUAUGAUUAUCUUUACGUAUAAUUAUUUCCGCGUUAAAUAUAAUAUGCAGGUAAAAUUAUAUUACAUCGCGAUUCCAUUCGAUUUGUAAUGGAUCUUAAUUAACAAAGUGCACCAAUUAAUAAGUUUGAUCCAUAAAUGGCGUAAUAAAGAGGAAAAAAGAACAAGAUUGUAUAGAUACAAAUUAAUAUCUGUGAUUAUCGUCGAUGCAGAUAUAUUUUAAGUGAUUUCUACGGCGUUCAGACAUAUUUGUAAAAAAUCAUAACAAAGAAAAAAGUAAAGAAAAAAAUGAUAUAUAAUAACCAUAUGUAUGGCGAUAAUACUUUUAGAACGAUUGUUGAGAUAAGAUUUAUCUGUGUUUAUGUUGAAUGCAUAUUGUCGUACCGCGUGGUGAUGAGGAUAAUUAAAUAUGCAUUAAUAUUAUUAAUUAGAAUAAUUAAUAUAUAGUGUGAGCACUAUUAUUGUUUCAAAGUAAAAAGAAAAUAAAGAAAAACACAAGAGAGAAAGAAAGAGAGAGAGAAAAAGAAGCUCGAACGAAUGUGUUUUGCGGAAAAUUUUUUGUUGUAUAUUAUUAUAGAUAUGUCGCAUUAUACACGAUCAUUUUCAAUAAACAUAUUCUAUAAAUUGUAA